rnacentral:rRNA from 1 species
UACGGAGGGAGCUAGCGUUAUUCGGAAUUACUGGGCGUAAAGCGCACGUAGGCGGCUUUGUAAGUCAGAGGUGAAAUCCCGGGGCUCAACCCCGGAACUGCCUUUGAGACUGCAUCGCUUGAAUCCAGGAGAGGUGAGUGGAAUUCCGGAGUGUAGAGGUGAAAUUCGUAGAUAUUCGGAAGAACACCAGUGGCGAAGGCGACACACUGGGCCAUUACUGACGCUGAGGCGCGAA